UCCCUGGUAGUCCAGUGGUUAAAACUCUGCACUUUCACUUCAGGGGACCCAGGUUUAAUCCCUGGGCAGGGAA
rnacentral:tRNA from 1 species